UUAAAAUAUGUAAUUUUUCUAAAUUAGUAUUAGUUAUGUUCUUGAAAAUUAAAGAUUUUGGCGGUAUUUUAGUCUUUUUAGAGGAAUCUGUUCUAUAAUUGAUAUUCCACGAUUAUUUAAACUUAUAUUAGAAAUUUAUAUAUCGUUGUAAUUUGAAUAUUUUAAAAGAAUUAAAUAUUCAUAAUUUAUAAAUUUUAUUUAAUAAAACAAAUCAAAUCAAGAUGUAGUUUAUAUAUAAGAAGAGAUGGAUUACAAAAAAAAUAUUUAUGAAUAAUAAUUUUAAAAAUUUUUUGAAAUAGGAUUUAAAAGUAAUUAUAUAUAUAUUUAUAUAAUGAGUUAGUUCUAAAAUAUGU
rnacentral:rRNA from 1 species